GAUGAGUUUCAUUACUUUUGGAAAAUGAAAGGAUGAGAAUUGAAAUUAAAACGUAGGAACUAUAUAUCAGAGACUUCUCAAGAGUUGGAGUCAGGGAAAGAGAAGAGUUCUAAGGAAAAAUUGCUAGGAUUUGGCUAAUUUGAGAUUUGUUUCCCGCAUCUCUUUGAGGAUGGGAACGUAAGCCUAUUGAGCCGUCAUCUCACUCCAAUUGACGAUUUUACAAAUUUUAUAUAUCGAAGGGCGAAGCAAGUGAGAAGUUUUUGCGUGUACUGCUUUUGUUUCAUUUCCAUAUAACUUGAUGUUUUACUUUGAGAGAAUAAAUGUGGAAUAUUUAGGCUUAUGAACCACUGUUAAGAAGUUUUUAUUAUACAUUUUAAAGGGAUCUGUUGAAUGGCGAAUGUAUUUGAAAGCUAUCUUUAAACUGAAUGAUUGAAAACCAUGUUUUCCUGACA